CAGUUGUCAUAAAUUUACAGAAGUCUCAUUGUCUCAUUGUUAACAUUUUUUAAUAAUAAGGAUUUCUUAAUUUAGAUAUUAUAUCACAAUGUGCAACAUAACAUCUGACAAAAAAAGAAAAUGGUAUAUUCAUCAAUGGUACAAGUGGUAAGGGGACAGAUCAAUGUUUGUCACUGAAAGAAAAUUCAUUGCUGAAACUUGCGUAAAAACAACAAAAAAUGCAAAGCAAGAUUCAAAUAGAAGGCCCUCCUCUUUUUGAUGUUAUUAAGCGUACAACAUCAAUAUAUAGACAUAAGAUACAUAAUUAACAUAUAAAGAAUAAUAUUCAACAUAAAUACUAUGCAAAAUAAUAAAAUAAAAAUAAUUUUAUAGGCAA